UACGGAGGGUGCAAGCGUUGUUCGGAUUUAUUGGGCGUAAAGCGUGCGCAGGCGGUGAUGUAAGACAGUUGUGAAAUCCCCGGGCUCAACCUGGGAAUUGCAUCUGUGACUGCAUCGCUAGAGUACGGUAGAGGGGGAUGGAAUUCCGCGUGUAGCAGUGAAAUGCGCAGAUAUCGGGAGGAACACCGGUGGCGAAGGCGGCGACCUGGACAGUAACUGACGCUGAGACGCGAAAGCGUGGGUAGCAAACAGG
rnacentral:rRNA from 1 species